AGAGGAUUUCAACCAGAGAGCUGAAAGUUCAAGGAACUGAAAGAAUCUGGGUGUGGACGCUUAAAGUGUGGAGCCUAAAGGGAAGAAGGUGGAGAUUGUCACAGAGCAGAGACCGCUUGGACCAAACUCUUCUUGGAACCAAAGCAACAAGUCUUCAAAGAAGACACUACACUCUUCAGCCUCGGAUUGUCAUCUGGGGAUGUUUGGAGGAGAAAACAGAAAGAAAACACAAACUAAGAAGAAUGGAGGUUAGACUGGAUUAAAGUUGUUCACGGAAGAGCUGCAGCCCUUUCCACCUCUCUUCCUUCAGUUUGAAGCCCAAUCACUGGAAAAAUACAUCAACAACUGCUGGCAGCUGCCGACUCACGCCCUGCCCAAAUUGCAAUUCAUGUCUUCAAACUGUCUUUGUUUACACCACAGAAAUUCAAUUAGAGCAGGUAAUACACAUGAGCAGCAUUCCCAAUGGACCCACAGUCAUCAAUGAUUUCCUGUCUGUUCCAUGUUAAGUUUGGCUCAAAAUUUUGGACCAAAUAUCACACAACUACAAUGACUUGGGGUGGCUCGUCAAUGAUGGCAGAGGUGUGUGGCAAGGCUUGUUUUCUAGAAUCAGGAUGACUGCCGGCUGCCAGUCUGGUAGAAUGCACUGCAGGGAUAUUUGCUUAGAUUAUUUUGUUUUAAAAUUAUUAACAUAAAUACAUUUCAGAGAGCCACGAACCAAACAUUAAACUCACUUCUAUCACUUUAAAUUCUAUUUCUGACUUUAUUCAAUUUACUAAAACCUGGGGUGCCCGACUGCUUGGUCCCCAAUCCUGUCUCUUUUUUAUCUACAUUCUCUCCCUACAGGAUCUUAUUCAAUCCCAUUGUUUAAAUAUCAUCUCUGUGCUGAUGACUCAUGCCUUCAUGUCUCCAGGUGUGCCAUCUCCUGGGAGCUCCAAACUCUCAUCUGCCUGCUUGACAUCUCCGUUGGGUCUACAUUUAUAGUCAUCUUAGAAAAAAUGGCCCAAACAGAUCUCUCU